CUCCGGUGUGUUUCGUGCCGCCAAUCCUUUGAUGUGGUGGCUUGUGAGCAAUACUCUUUGUAUCCAUACUUCACAGAACAUGCAUAGAAGGUAAGAAAAUCAUAGUUAUGUAAUAUACAGUGGCUAAUGCCCAGGAAACAAUGUGUAGCUGUAAAGCCGUCUGUAUAUAUUGCUGUUGUCUACAGAUUUGAGGAAGAGAACAGAAAUAGGAAUGUGCUUUUUGUAUGCUUAGUUGUUUAUCUUGUGCAAAUAUUUGGACUUUUGAGUUAAAGAAUCAUUGUUUUGCCUCUCGGCUCCGCUCUGCGCUUCGACGAAUAUCGUUUGGCCCACGUUGCGUCUGCUUCAUCCCUGCAGUUGGUGUGCCUGUAGCCGUGAGAGCAUAGUCUCUCAAACCAACUUUUUUUUUU
rnacentral:lncRNA from 1 species